rnacentral:rRNA from 1 species
UACGUAGGCAGCGAGCGUUGUUCGGAGUUACUGGGCGUAAAGGGUGUGUAGGCGGUUGUUUAAGUUUGGUGUGAAAUCUCCCGGCUCAACUGGGAGGGUGCGCCGAAUACUGAAUGACUAGAGUGCGGGAGAGGUGAGUGGAAUUCCUGGUGUAGCGGUGAAAUGCGCAGAUAUCAGGAAGAACACCCGUGGCGAAGGCGGCUCUCUGGUACGUGACUGACGCUGAGACGCGAAAGCGUGGGGAGCGAACAGG